rnacentral:misc_RNA from 1 species
GAUGAAGAACGCAGUGAAAUGCGAUAAUUAAUGUGAAUUGCAGAAUUUAGUGAAUCAUCGAAUCUUUGAACGCACAUUGCGCCCCUUGGUAUUCCAUGGGGCAUGCCUGUUCGAGCGUCAUUUGUACCUUCAAGCUCUGCUUGGUGUUGGGUGUUUGUCUCGCCUCUGCGUGUAGACUCGCCUCAAAACAAUUGGCAGCCGGCGUAUUGAUUUCGGAGCGCAGUACAUCUCGCGCUUUGCACUCAUAACGACGACGUCCAAAAGUACAUUUUUACACUCUUGACCUCGGAUCAGGUAGGGAUACCCGCUGAACUUAAGCAUAUCAAUAAGCGGAGGA